CCACUGCUGGAAAUCAGGGAACAUGUGAAAGGCUCUUCAGUGUCACAUGGCUGGAGUCAGAUUAGAGUUUCAUCCUUCAGGAUUGUUUCUGCUUCCUUUGUAAAAAGGAAAAAUAAAAUGUCUAAAGGAUGAAUAAAGACACUAUAAUCCUGUAUUAGGCAGUCCAUCACAGUUCAUUUCCAUUUACUCAAAUUAUGUAAAAACAAGGAUGGUGUACAAGGAUGACACAAGACCUUCUGCUAUUUGCCAUAAGAACAAAGUGAAAGAAACUGUGAUGCUGGAAGAAUGAUA